rnacentral:snoRNA from 1 species
AGAGAUGUGUGAUGUAAAAACAUGGUAUCUGCCCCUGCCAGGGCAGUCUGAAUUACUCUGUAGAAGGACACCAUGCUGCCUUCCUUCUGAUGUCUCU